rnacentral:rRNA from 1 species
UGGGGAAUCUUCCGCAAUGGACGAAAGUCUGACGGAGCAACGCCGCGUGAGUGAAGACGGCCUUCGGGUUGUAAAGCUCUGUGAUCCGGGACGAAAGAGCCUUGGGUAAAUAGCCUAAGGAAGUGACGGUACCGGAAAAGCAAGCCACGGCUAACUACGUGCCAGCAGCCGCGGUAAUACGUAGGUGGCAAGCGUUGUCCGGAAUUAUUGGGCGUAAAGCGCGCGCAGGCGGCUUUCUAAGUCCAUCUUAAAAGUGCGGGGCUUAACCCCGUGAUGGGAUGGAAACUGGGAAGCUGGAGUAUCGGAGAGGAAAGUGGAAUUCCUAGUGUAGCGGUGAAAUGCGUAGAGAUUAGGAAGAACACCGGUGGCGAAGGCGACUUUCUGGACGAAAACUGACGCUGAGGCGCGAAAGCGUGGGGAGCAAACAGG